GACGAACGCUGGCGGCGCGCUUAACACAUGCAAGUCGAGCGAAGCGGCGGACGGGUGAGUAACACGUGAGUAACCUGCCUUAGACCUUGGGCUAGCCUCGGGAAACCGGGAUUAAUACCAAAUGGUCUAAGAUGGACUCGCGUCCCAUUAGCUAGUUGGUGGGUAACGGCCCACCAAGGCGACGAUGGGUAGCCGGGCUGAGAGGGGGAACGGGCACAUUUGAACUGAGAAACGGUCCAAAAUCUACAGGAGGCAGCAGUGGGGAAUAUUGCACAAUGGAGGGAACGCUGAUGCAGUGACGCUGCGGGAACGAAGAAGGCUGUCGAGUCGUAAAGUUCUUUUAUAUGGGAAGCGGUACCAUAAGAAAAAGCCCCGGCUAACUACGUGCCAGCCGCCGCGGUAAUAC
rnacentral:rRNA from 1 species